AACGCGAAGAACCUUACCUAGCCUUGACAUGCACUAGACCGACGCUGAAAGGCGUUUUUCCCGCAAGGGACUGGUGCACAGGUGCUGCAUGGCUGUCGUCAGCUCGUGUCGUGAGAUGUUGGGUUAAGUCCCGCAACGAGCGCAACCCUUAUCUUCAGUUGCUACCAUUUAGUUGAGCACUCUGACGAAACCGCCUCGGAUAACGGGGAGGAAGGUGGGGAUGACGUCAAGUCCUCAUGGCCUUUAUGUCCAGGGCUACACACGUGCUACAAUGGCCGGUACAAACCGCUGCAAACCCGCGAGGGGGAGCUAAUCGGAAAAAGCCGGCCUCAGUUCGGAUUGGAGUCUGCAACUCGACUCCAUGAAGCUGGAAUCGCUAGUAAUCGUGGAUCAGCAUGCCACGGUGAAUACGUUCCCGGGCCUUGUACACACCGCGCUA
rnacentral:rRNA from 1 species